GUGAGGAAGGAGAGGGAGAGAGGGAGAGAGAAAGUAGAUGUGUGCAGACAACCUGCUCGCGCGUAAUUCUGGGAGGACUCUCCGCCGAGCAACGACACAAUAAACACUCACGGAGCCGCAAGAGUUUCCCCCGGUGGAGUAACAGUAAGCACUUAAAUCACGUCACACCACCCAGCCAGGAGUCCAUCAUCAAUCUGCAGCCAUGUAUCUGAACAGGGAGGAGGAGUACAGCAAAGGCUCCUUCUCUUUGAGCGUGCUGCUGGUGUCGUUGGCGGUAACCGUGUGUGGUGUUUGGCUGGUGGCUCUCUGCGGCGUCUGCGGAUGGUGUCAACGCAAGCUGGGGAAGAGAAAUAAACCAGGAGUGGAGUCCGUCGGGUCUCCCGAUUCAGGAAGAGGAAGAGGAGAGAAAAAAGCCAUCAAGUAGGUGCAGGGACAUUUGUUUCGUUCAGUGGGGUGUUUUGUAAGAUCGUUGUGUUGGAGUGAAGCCUGAACAUCCGAAAUCAGCGCUGUGAUCACAAGAAAACAUCGCCGUUAUCUCCACAGACCACAAACACGUGUGUUUUGAGCAGAGGAAAUCAUUUCAGAAGUUGUUAAAGCAGUGGCGGUCC